UACGUAGGGUGCGAGCGUUGUCCGGAAUCAUUGGGCGUAAAGGGCUCGUAGGCGGUCCAUCGCGUCGGGAGUGAAACGCUGGGGCUUAACCCCAGUCCUGCUUUCGAUACGGGUGGACUAGAGGUAGGCAGGGGAGAAUGGAAUUCCUGGUGUAGCGGUGAAAUGCGCAGAUAUCAGGAGGAACACCGGUGGCGAAGGCGGCACUCUGGGCCGGUACUGACGCUGAGGAGCGAAAGCGUGGGGAGCGAACAGG
rnacentral:rRNA from 1 species